rfam:Schistosoma curassoni strain Dakar, Senegal genome assembly, scaffold: SCTD_contig0003313
AUUCAGAUGACAAGUCCCAAAUAGAAUGAAACGCGCGUAUUGGAU